GAUGAUCGCUGACAGAAUGCUUAACACAUGCAAGUCUUUGGCGAAGCUGUGCUUGCACAGCCUAGCCAAGGCGGACGGGUGAGUAACGCGUAAGGAACUUGCCCUGCAGUCAGGGAUAACAGACGGAAACGACUGAUAAGACCUGGUAAAGUCAGGCGGACUCAUGUCCAGCCUGAUGAAAAGAGAUGCUGCAGGAGAGCCUUGCGUCCUAUUAGCUUGUUGGUGGGGUAACGGCCCACCAAGGCGAUGAUAGGUAGCCGGCCUGAGAGGGUGGACGGCCACAAGGGGACUGAGAUACGGCCCUUACUCCUACGGGAGGCAGCAGUGGGGAAUAUUGGACAAUGGGGGCAACCCUGAUCCAGCAAUUCUGUGUGCACGAUGAAGGUUUUCGGAUUGUAAAGUGCUUUCAGCAGGGAAGAAAAAAAUGACGGUACCUGCAGAAGAAGCGACGGCUAAAUACGUG
rnacentral:rRNA from 1 species